GGCUACUGCCUUCUUCAAAUUGGAGUUGCAGCUGAAUCUCUAACAGAAGUUGGUCAAGCAGUGGCUGUUGAUGUGCAUAAAUUGAUUCAAACUGCAGUUUAUAGAAGUGUCAUCGAAUCUAGAAAAUAGAGCUAUUUGGCAAACCUCUCUCUUUAUCCUGCAAGGUCCGAGCUUCCCUUCUUGCCUGCUAAUACACAGGCAGUUAUCUUGCAGCCACUAGGGAAUAGUGGAAUUGCUAUCAUUGGUGGCGAUACUAUCAGGGGCUUCACCAACCUUGAUCAGGUAU